GAUGAACGCUGGCGGCGUGCUUAACACAUGCAAGUCGAACGAAGCACCUUAUUCUGAUUUCUUCGGAAUGAAAAAUUUGGUGACUGAGUGGCGGACGGGUGAGUAACGCGUGGGUAACCUGCCUCAUACAGGGGGAUAACAGUUAGAAAUGGCUGCUAAUACCCCAUAAGACCACAGCACCGCAUGGUGCAGGGGUAAAAACUCCGGUGGUAUGAGAUGGACCCGCGUCUGAUUAGGUAGUAGGCGGGGUAACGGCCCACCUAGCCAACGAUGGAUAGGGGUUCUGAGAGGAAGGUCCCCCACAUUGGAACUGAGACACGGUCCAA
rnacentral:rRNA from 1 species